rnacentral:rRNA from 1 species
GCGGAGGGAUCAUUACCGAGUUUACAACUCCCAAACCCCUGUGAACAUACCUUAAUGUUGCCUCGGCGGAUCAGCCCGCGCCCCGUAAAACGGGACGGCCCGCCAGAGGACCCAAACUCUAAUGUUUCUUAUUGUAACUUCUGAGUAAAACAAACAAAUAAAUCAAAACUUUCAACAACGGAUCUCUUGGUUCUGGCAUCGAUGAAGAACGCAGCAAAAUGCGAUAAGUAAUGUGAAUUGCAGAAUUCAGUGAAUCAUCGAAUCUUUGAACGCACAUUGCGCCCGCUGGUAUUCCGGCGGGCAUGCCUGUUCGAGCGUCAUUUCAACCCUCAAGCCCCCGGGUUUGGUGUUGGGGAUCGGCUCUGCCUUCUGGCGGCGCCGCCCCCGAAAUACAUUGGCGGUCUCGCUGCAGCCUCCAUUGCGUAGUAGCUAACACCUCGCAACUGGAACGCGGCGCGGCCAUGCCGUAAAACCCCAACUUCUGAAUGUUGACCUCGGAUCAGGUAGGAAUACCCGCUGAACUUAAGCAUACCCUAGUAACGGCGAGUGAAGCGGCAACAGCUCAAAUUUGAAAUCUGGCUUUCGGGCCCGAGUUGUAAUUUGUAGAGGAUACUUUUGAUGCGGUGCCUUCCGAGUUCCCUGGAACGGGACGCCAUAGAGGGUGAGAGCCCCGUCUGGUUGGAUGCCAAAUCUCUGUAAAGUUCCUUCGACGAGUCGAGUAGUUUGGGAAUGCUGCUCUAAAUGGGAGGUAUAUGUCUUCUAAAGCUAAAUAUUGGCCAGAGACCGAUAGCGCACAAGUAGAGUGAUCGAAAGAUGAAAAGCACUUUGAAAAGAGAGUUAAAAAGUACGUGAAAUUGUUGAAAGGGAAGCGUUUAUGACCAGACUUGGACUUGGUUAAUCAUCUGGGGUUCUCCCCAGUGCACUUUUCCAGUUCAGGCCAGCAUCAGUUUUCGCCGGGGGAUAAAGGCAGCGGGAAUGUGGCUCUCUUCGGGGAGUGUUAUAGCCCGUUGUGUAAUACCCUGGUGGGGACUGAGGUUCGCGCUUCUGCAAGGAUGCUGGCGUAAUGGUCAUCAACGACCCG